CCUGUGGGAGAGACGGAGCUAGAAAUUCGCCGUCGCCGAAGGAGCAACCGCCCCGGAAACUCUCAGGCAGCCGGACCGCAGGAGG
rnacentral:ncRNA from 1 species